GAAACCGUGUGCUUACAAGUAGUCAGAGCCCGUUAAUGGGUGAUGGCGUGCCUUUUGUAGAAUGAACCGGCGAGUUACGAUUUGAUGCAAGGUUAAGCAGUAAAUGUGGAGCCGUAGCGAAAGCGAGUCUGAAUAGGGCGUUUAGUAUUUGGUCGUAGACCCGAAACCAGGUGAUCUACCCUUGGUCAGGUUGAAGUUCAGGUAACACUGAAUGGAGGACCGAACCGACUUACGUUGAAAAGUGAGCGGAUGAACUGAGGGUAGCGGAGAAAUUCCAAUCGAACCUGGAGAUAGCUGGUUCUCUCCGAAAUAGCUUUAGGGCUAGCCUCAAGUGAUGAUUAUUGGAGGUAGAGCACUGUUUGGACGAGGGGCCCCUCUCGGGUUACCGAAUUCAGACAAACUCCGAAUGCCAAUUAAUUUAACUUGGGAGUCAGAACAUGGGUGAUAAGGUCCGUGUUCGAAAGGGAAACAGCCCAGACCACCAGCUAAGGUCCCAAAAUAUAUGUUAAGUGGAAAAGGAUGUGGCGUUGCCCAGACAACUAGGAUGUUGGCUUAGAAGCAGCCAUCAUUUAAAGAGUGCGUAAUAGCUCACUAGUCGAGUGACACUGCGCCGAAAAUGUACCGGGGCUAAACAUAUUACCGAAGCUGUGGAUUGUCCUUUGGACAAUGGUAGGAGAGCGUUCUAAGGGCGUUGAAGCAUGAUCGUAAGGACAUGUGGAGCGCUUAGAAGUGAGAAUGCCGGUGUGAGUAGCGAAAGACGGGUGAGAAUCCCGUCCACCGAUUGACUAAGGUUUCCAGAGGAAGGCUCGUCCGCUCUGGGUUAGUCGGGUCCUAAGCUGAGGCCGACAGGCGUAGGCGAUGGAUAACAGGUUGAUAUUCCUGUACCACCUAUAAUCGUUUUAAUCGAUGGGGGGACGCAGUAGGAUAGGCGAAGCGUGCGAUUGGAUUGCACGUCUAAGCAGUAAGGCUGAGUAUUAGGCAAAUCCGGUACUCGUUAAGGCUGAGCUGUGAUGGGGAGAAGACAUUGUGUCUUCGAGUCGUUGAUUUCACACUGCCGAGAAAAGCCUCUAGAUAGAAAAUAGGUGCCCGUACCGCAAACCGACACAGGUAGUCAAGAUGAGAAUUCUAAGGUGAGCGAGCGAACUCUCGUUAAGGAACUCGGCAAAAUGACCCCGUAACUUCGGGAGAAGGGGUGCUCUUUAGGGUUAACGCCCAGAAGAGCCGCAGUGAAUAGGCCCAAGCGACUGUUUAUCAAAAACACAGGUCUCUGCUAAACCGUAAGGUGAUGUAUAGGGGCUGACGCCUGCCCGGUGCUGGAAGGUUAAGAGGAGUGGUUAGCUUCUGCGAAGCUACGAAUCGAAGCCCCAGUAAACGGCGGCCGUAACUAUAACGGUCCUAAGGUAGCGAAAUUCCUUGUCGGGUAAGUUCCGACCCGCACGAAAGGCGUAACGAUUUGGGCACUGUCUCAACGAGAGACUCGGUGAAAUCAUAGUACCUGUGAAGAUGCAGGUUACCCGCGACAGGACGGAAAGACCCCGUGGAGCUUUACUGUAGCCUGAUAUUGAAAUUCGGCACAGCUUGUACAGGAUAGGUAGGAGCCUUUGAAACGUGAGCGCUAGCUUACGUGGAGGCGCUGGUGGGAUACUACCCUAGCUGUGUUGGCUUUCUAACCCGCACCACUUAUC
rnacentral:rRNA from 1 species